CAAAAGCUUAGUCCUGACUUUACUGUCAGCUUUGGCCAAAUUUAUACAUGCAAGUAUCCGCAUCCCUGUGAGAAUGCCCUAUCCCUUCCCCAUUCGGGAAAUAGGAGCCGGUAUCAGGCACAACCCCGUAUUUUAGCCCACGACACCUUGCUCAGCCACACCCCCAAGGGAACUCAGCAGUAAUAAACAUUAAGCCAUAAGUGCAAACUUGACUUAAUUAAGGCCAGCAGGGCCAGCAAAACUCGUGCCAGCCGCCGCGGUUAUACGAGAGGCCCGAGUUGACAGAUCUCGGCGUAAAGCGUGGUUAAGAGGACCUGCACUAAAGCCGAAAACCUUCAUGGCUGUCUUACGCACCCGAAGAGAAGAAGUACUACUACGAAAGUGGCUUUAAAUUUUCUGAUCCCACGAAAGCUGGGGCACAAACUGGGAUUAGAUACCCCACUAUGCCCAGCCAUAAACACAGGCAGCAACUACACAAUCGCUGCUCGCCCGGGGACUACGAGCAUAAGCUUAAAACCCCAAGGACUUGACGGUGCUUUAGAUCCACCUAGAGGAGCCUGUUCUAUAACCGAUAAUCCCCGUUCAACCUCACCCCCUCUUGUUAUCCCCGCCUAUAUACCGCCGUCGUAAGCUUACCCCAUUGAGGGGCAAAUAGUGAGCAAAAUUGGCACCGCCCAGAACGUCAGGUCGAGGUGUAGCGUAUGAGGGGGGAAGAAAUGGGCUACAUUUACUGACACAGUAAACACGAACUGUGAAUUUGAAAUAAUCAUCUGAAGGAGGAUUUAGCAGUAAGGUGGAAAGUAGAGCGUUCCCCUGAAACUGGCCCUGAAGCAUGUACACACCGCCCGUCACUCUCCCCGAGCUAAGACUUUAACCAAUAAUUAAUACACUACAACUGUAAAGGGGAGGGAAGUCGUAACAAGGUAAGUGUACCGGAAGGUGCACUUGGAAAAAC
rnacentral:ncRNA from 1 species